rnacentral:rRNA from 1 species
UACAGAGGUCUCAACCGUUGUUCGGAUUCACUGGGCGUAAAAGGGUGCGUAGGUGGUGAGGUAAGUCGGAUGUGAAAGCCUGUGGCUCAACCACAGAAUUGCCUUCGAUACUGCAUGGCUUGAGACCGGAAGAGGUUAGUGGAACUGCGAGUGUAGAGGUGAAAUUCGUAGAUAUUCGCAAGAACACCAGUGGCGAAGGCGGCUGACUGGUC